rnacentral:sRNA from 1 species
CCAUAGCCCCGAUAGUAGCGGCAUCCUUUUUUUUCCGGAAUAAGCUUUGGCAAAAAAAGAUAUAGCGGAUAGCGGGAUCAAAC